GGGAGGACUUGGAUGGUACUCUAGGGACGUUGGUUAAGGCGUUUUUUUAAGCAGAGGAGGUGAUCCUCCGGCUUCAUGCAUGACUGUCAGCAUCAAGGGCAGAAGUGGGGUGACCACAAAGGAAGCCAUUGAACGCAAAUGUGAGCUCCAUGGUUCUCUGCGGGUGGAGGCCUCUCCACUGGACAAUCCUGGGCUUCCUUCUAGGCCAGGGCAGGAAGCUUCACAGCCCCACUGUUGAGGGGACUGGCUCAGAUGGAGCAGCUGAAACUGGCUCUUCUUGCUUCUUGUUUGUAAGGGAUGACUGACGCACCUGUGUUUGUGAGCUGGAAGAAGAGAGAUGUCAAAGGCGAGGAGGCUCUAAGCCCUUCUCAGAAGCUCAGCAGCAUGGAGAAGGGAAAGACUCCCCCUCAAGUGAAGGAACGACAUUGGAGCCUGCUUCGUGUCAAAGGAGAAGAGACCUUGUCACGGACAACAGGCCUAUGCAGACAACAUCCUCAGCUAUGCGGUGUGACAAAGUCCUUGGAAGGUACUCAGAUCUCCCGAGGAUUGGUGACAGUUCUCCGCAAUUAGUUCCAUGUUUUAUUCAUCGUCGGAGGCUUUCAGGCUACAAAUCACUCUGGGUGCUUCGCUAACCUCAUCCCGGGCUCCUGUGUGGAGAGUAAGGGCUCUUCUGCAUGCUGAGCAGACCUCUGUGUCUCAGGAGAAAGAGCUCUGCCUGGUACUUGGGGCUCUGAUUGCAGCCACAGCAAAUCAGACCACAUAGGCCUGUAUCUGAUUUGCAGGGCACUAAAUUCCUAUCUCCCCAAGUUCCCUAAAUCACCACGGAGGAGUCGCGGCCUUCUAAUGCCAGAGAACGCACUGUCUGAUCUGCCAGGCACAGCCACUGGAUUUACUGGGACGAUAAAGGGGCCUCGCUAGUGUAAAAUAUCAGGAAAUAACCACACAGGUGCAUUUGAGCUCACAAAUUUGCUACUUAGGGAAAAUAAAAGCUGCUGGCCAAUCACACAUGACUGAACUUAUAUUCUCAGUACAACGGUCAAAAUGAGGGUACUACGGACUUUCACUUUGGACCAGACCAGCUCACACUGCUCAAUCUGGAGUAAAGUGACUGGGACAGUCCUGGAAGGCAAGCAGGACAGCAGGAUGCCCUAGAUGUGACAAGAGCCCUGUACAAGGUCUGCGGCUCUGUCCUCUGUGGGUUUUAAAACUCUGAGCCCGUAACUGAUGUUCUCAGAGGUCCCAUUCCUCACCUGCAGCUGGGAGAACAGAGUCCAGCAGAGCAGCAGUGGCCAAGGCCAGGUGAAUCCCUUCUUGUCAACCUCUGGGAGAAAAGGCCACUAGGUCCCACCUCCGUGGAACUCAGAGAGAAAAGGCCAGAUGAGUAGAGAUGGCGAAAAGCCAUCAGAUCCACUUCAAGCAACGCAGAUUCACUGUGUCCAGGGCCCUUUGCAUUUCCACCGCUUGGAUGCCUUUGCCUGGCACGUGAGCCCAUGAAUCCCUCCAGCCUGUCACCAUCCCUGUAGGUGUUUUUCUUUCCUUCAUUGCUAUGUUGGAGCUAGACCUCAAGGCCUCAAACACGCCAGGCCAGCGGACUGAAAAGCCACACCUCCAACCCCUAACUUGGGAAUCUGAAGAAGGCAUUCCACUGAACCAGAUCCCAGACCGUGAUUGGUGGACAACAACGCUAGCACAGACCGACUCUGCGGCUGAGUCCAAUCCACAGACUUCCAUUGAUAGAUUCUAGGUAAGCUCCGUGCUGAGUCACAUGCCCAGCCUCUCAGUGGAGGGUGCUAGGCCGUCUUGCUAUGGUGAGCCACAAUUCAGUGCCUUUCCUUUUCUGUCGUUUUCAUCUUAAAACAGGGUCUUGCUGAGUGCUCCUGGCUGGCCUUGAAUUCUGUAGCUCAGGCAAGCUUGGAACACUCGUGACCCCUUGGCUUCAGCCUCCAGAGAAACUGUAAUUGCAGUCUGUGCCUCAAGGCACGGCGUUGCCAUCACUUUCUGUGCUCCUCACUGGAGUGACUUCCUGGGGUUAUGGACUAUACUAUAGGUAUUUUCCUUGAUGUUGCACGUCUCACCUGGAGAGACAGGAGCUAAGAAGGAGACAGAGACACGAUCUGAGAUGAAAGCAUUCGAAGCAGCAGGUGCAAAGGCCCUGGGGUGAGAGUGUGCUUAUUGUCAAGUGACCAGCGAGCAGAAGUAGGUAGUCAGGGACAGGUCAUAUGGAAUCAUACGCCACCAUGUAGAGUUUGGGUUUUACAGGGGAAGAAAAUCGCUGAGAGUUGAAGGAGAGAGCACAUGAAUCUCAGCUGUCCUCUGCAAGAGUAAGACUCUCUGGUGCCCAGUAUGGGCAUCAACAGUCCAGGGCUGUCAUCAUCACCAGGACAAGACAGAGAGGUGCCUUGGAUGAGGUGGUGAGGAGACACUGAGGGUGGGUGGGCUGGC